AGUGAACGCUGGCGGUAGGCCUAACACAUGCAAGUCGAACGGCAGCACAGUAAGAGCUUGCUCUUACGGGUGGCGAGUGGCGGACGGGUGAGGAAUACAUCUGAAUCUACUUUUUCGUGGGGGAUAACGUAGGGAAACUUACGCUAAUACCGCAUACGACCUACGGGUGAAAGCAGGGGAUCUUCGCACCUUGCGCGAUUGAAUGAGCCGAUGUCGGAUUAGCUAGUUGGCGGGGUAAAGGCCCACCAAGGCGACGAUCCGUAGCUGGUCUGAGAGGAUGAUCAGCCACACUGGAACUGAGACACGGUCCAGACUCCUACGGGAGGCAGCAGUGGGGAAUAUUGGACAAUGGGCGCAAGCCUGAUCCAGCCAUACCGCGUGGGUGAAGAAGGCCUUCGGGUUGUAAAGCCCUUUUGUUGGGAAAGAAAAGCAGCAGGUUAAUACCCCGCUGUUCUGACGGUACCCAAAGAAUAAGCACCGGCUAACUUCGUG
rnacentral:rRNA from 1 species